AUGGGCGCAAGCCUGAUCCAGCCAUGCCGCGUGGAUGAUGAAGGCCCUAGGGUUGUAAAGUCCUUUCGGCGGGGAAGAUAAUGACGGUACCCGCAGAAGAAGCCCCGGCUAACUUCGUGCCAGCAGCCGCGGUAAUACGAAGGGGGCUAGCGUUGCUCGGAAUCACUGGGCGUAAAGCGCACGUAGGCGGCUUUUAAGUCAGGGGUGAAAUCCUGGAGCUCAACUCCAGAACUGCCCUUGAUACUGAGAAGCUUGAGUCCGGGAGAGGUGAGUGGAACUGCGAGUGUAGAGGUGAAAUUCGUAGAUAUUCGCAAGAACACCAGUGGCGAAGGCGGCUCACUGGCCCGGUACUGACGCUGAGAUGCGAAAGCGUGGGGAGCAAACAGGAUUAGAUACCCUGGUAGUCCACGCCUUAAACGAUGGAUGCUAGCCGUUGUCGGGUUUACUCGUCAGUGGCGCAGCUAACGCAUUAAGCAUCCCGCCUGGGGAGUAC
rnacentral:rRNA from 1 species